AGGAUGACUGACCAUUAUAGAGUGCAUGCUUUAGAACUUGGCUUAACUGAAGAGAAAACUACUAACUUUAUGCCCC
rnacentral:sRNA from 1 species